rnacentral:tRNA from 1 species
GGAAGAGGAUCGGGGCCCGGUGGCCCGCACGGACUUCAAAUCCGCUGAGACGGGUCCACAAGCUCGUCUGGUGAGUUCGACUCUCACCCUCUUCCGCCA